CAACCUGCGCAGCCUACCAUGCACCGUCGAACGGACAUUAUUUAUAUAGCCUCUCCGGCUAUAGGAAAUUGUUAGUGGCAGACGGGUGAGUAAUGCGUAGGAAUCUACCUAGUAGUACGGAAUAGCCAUUAGAAAUGGUGGGUAAUACUGUAUAAUCCCCGAGGGGGAAAGAUUUAUCGCUAUUAGAUGAGCCUACGUUAGAUUAGCUAGUUGGUGAGGUAAUGGCUUACCAAGGCUAUGAUCUAUAGCUGGUCUGAGAGGAUCAGCCACACUGGAACUGAGAUACGGUCCAGACUCC
rnacentral:rRNA from 1 species